UACGAAGGGGGCUAGCGUUGCUCGGAAUCACUGGGCGUAAAGCGCACGUAGGCGGACUCUUAAGUCGGUGGUGAAAUCCUGGAGCUCAACUCCAGAACUGCCUUCGAUACUGGGAGUCUUGAGUCCGAGAGAGGUGAGUGGAACUGCGAGUGUAGAGGUGAAAUUCGUAGAUAUUCGCAAGAACACCAGUGGCGAAGGCGGCUCACUGGCUCGGUACUGACGCUGAUGCACGAAAGCUAGGGAAGCAAGCAGG
rnacentral:rRNA from 1 species